AUGGACCGCGUUUUAGCAACUCCACCGACCAACCGGGUUUAUGCGCGUAAAAAGAAACCGGUCCGAUUAGAAGCAGCAAGCCCUAACUCCAACCCUAACCCUAAUUUUACGGCACUUUCGUUCCUCUUCCUCGGUUUCUUUCUUCGGAUUCUUUUUGGAAUCGGUAAAAAUUCAGUGGAUUUGGGGUGGAUUGCUGCUAAGGGUUUUCCAUCUUUCACAUAUAAGUUGUAUGCUACUUUUCGUUUCUCAUUGUGUCAGUAA